rnacentral:misc_RNA from 1 species
AAGUCGUAACAAGGUUUCCGUAGGUGAACCUGCGGAAGGAUCAUUAACACGUUUUAUACGUAUCUUAAUCGAAAUAUCCACCCCAAACUGUGUCACGCUUGUAUGGAUCGUUCGCGAUUCUUACAUGCACACUCGGCAAUGUCCAUGUGUGUGAAAUACCAUACGUCGGUUCAUUGUCCUCAACUCACCUCUUUAUUUUUCACCCCAAUCUAUUGACUCACCCUACUACAACCCAAGUGGUCUGAUACAAACGUGUUCUUAUCUUUGGAUUUGAACCCGAACCAUAUGGAUGUCAUGCAUUCAGAAUUUGAAAUACAACUCUUAGCAAUGGAUAUCUUGGUUCUC